rnacentral:lncRNA from 1 species
AUGCGGGUCUGCCGGAAAGCACAUGCCGGAGAUGAACUGGUGGAAAUGCCCGCGGCGGAGAAAAGAACAUUCCUGUUUAUCAGCCUCCAUUAUUUUUUCUUCCUGGAGCCCUCGAGAGCUUGGAUGAAGGCCUGGCCAGUAGAUGCAGAGCAUUUGAAGACUUGAGAGCGAGAUGCUAGCUGCAGCGUGUUUGAGUGGAGGUCACCAAACACCUUGUGGAGCAGGACAGCGGCCUCCCCCCAUCUCUGUGCCCCCUUGCCCUCUCUGCUGCUGGCACCUGUCCUGCGGCCUGGCCAGAUCCUGGGCUGGGAGGCCCGCGGUGUGACUCGGGGAGCUCACCCAGACCCACGCUCCUCCACUCUGUGCUGAUGGUGGUUUUGGCCCCUGGGUGCUGGAGGAGA